UACGGAGGAUCUAAGCGUUAUCCGGAUUUAUUGGGUUUAAAGGGUGCGUAGGUGGCCUGUUAAGUCAGGGGUGAAAGACGGUAGCUUAACUAUCGCAGUGCCCUUGAUACUGAUGGGCUUGAAUGAACUAGAGGUAGGCGGAAUGUGACAAGUAGCGGUGAAAUGCAUAGAUAUGUCACAGAACACCAAUUGCGAAGGCAGCUUACUAUGGUUUUAUUGACACUGAGGCACGAAAGCGUGGGGAUCAAACAGG
rnacentral:rRNA from 1 species